rnacentral:rRNA from 1 species
GGUAGGGAGUCCGAAAGGUGACCGACCUUCGGGAGCCAUUACAGGUGUUGCAUGGCUGUCGUCAGCUCGUGUCGUGAGAUGUUCGGUUAAGUCCGCUAACGAGCGCAACCCUCGCUGUGUGUUAUAUGUGUCACACAGGACUGCUGGUAUUAAGCCGGAGGAAGGUGGGGACGACGUCAAGUCAGCAUGACCUUUAUAUCCAGGGCUACACACACGCUACAAUGGUCAGUACAAUGGGUUGCCAAGCCGCGAGGCGGAGCCAAUCCUAAAAAGCUGGCCUCAGUUCAGAUUGCAGUCCGAAACUCGACUGCAUGAAGUCGGAGUUGCUAGUAAACGCAGGCCAGCUAUACUGCGUUGAAUACGUUCCCGGGGCUU